GCUUUUGUGGUGCAGUUGAUAACGACGCUUUCCUACAACAACCAACCGCUUGCCAGUUCGACCCUGGCCAGGAGCA